UACGUAGGGUGCGAGCGUUGUCCGGAAUUAUUGGGCGUAAAGGGCUCGUAGGCGGUUUGUCGCGUCGGGAGUGAAAUCCACUGGCUUAACUGGUGGCUUGCUUUCGAUACGGGCAGACUGGAGGUAUGCAGGGGAGAACGGAAUUCCUGGUGUAGCGGUGAAAUGCGUAGAUAUUGGGAGGAACACCAGUGGCGAAGGCGGCUACCUGGACCGGUUCUGACGCUGAGGCGCGAAAGCGUGGGUAGCAAACAGG
rnacentral:rRNA from 1 species